rnacentral:piRNA from 1 species
UAGCAGGGAUGCCCGGACCAAAGU